CCUACGGGGAGCUGCAGUAGGGAAUAUUGCUCAAUGGGGGAAACCCUGAAGCAGCAACGCCGCGUGGAGGAUGAAGGUUUUCGGAUUGUAAACCCCUUUUGUUAGAGAAGAUAAUGACGGUAUCUAACGAAUAAGCACCGGCUAACUCCGUGCCAGCAGCCGCGGUAAUACGGAGGGUGCAAGCGUUACUCGGAAUCACUGGGCGUAAAGAGCGCGUAGGCGGGAUAGCAAGUCAGAUGUGAAAUCCUAGGGCUUAACCAUAGAACUGCAUUUGAAACUGUUAUUCUAGAGUAUGGGAGAGGUAGGUGGAAUUCUUGGUGUAGGGGUAAAAUCCGUAGAGAUCAAGAGGAAUACUCAUUGCGAAGGCGACCUGCUAGAACAUAACUGACGCUGAUGCGCGAAAGCGUGGGGAGCAAACAGGAUUAGAUACCCCUGUAGUC
rnacentral:rRNA from 1 species